rnacentral:rRNA from 1 species
AGAGCGAACGCUGGCGGCAGGCCUAACACAUGCAAGUCGAACGGACUCUUCGGAGUUAGUGGCGGACGGGUGAGUAACACGUGGGAACGUGCCUUUUGGUUCGGAAUAGCUCCUGGAAACGGGUGGUAAUGCCGAAUGUGCCCCCUCCUUUGAUCGGGGGGGUGGGAAAGAUUUAUCGCCAUUAGAGCGGCCCGCGUCCUGAUUAGCUAGUUGGUGAGGUAAAGGCUCACCAAGGCGACGAUCAGUAGCUGGUCUGAGAGGAUGACCAGCCACAUUGGGACUGAGACACGGCCCAAACUCCUACGGGAGGCAGCAGUGGGGAAUCUUGCGCAAUGGGACGAAAGCCUGACGCAGCCAUGCCGCGUGAAUGAUGAAGGUCUUAGGAUUGUAAAAUUCUUUCACCGGGACGAUAAUGACGGUACCGGAGAAGAAGCCCGACUAACUCGUGCCAGCAGCCGC